rnacentral:rRNA from 1 species
CAACAGUACGUGAAACCGCAUAGAGGUAAACGGGUGGAUCCGCAAAGUCGGCCCGCGGAAUUCAGCUCGGAAGGCUGCGCGCCUGCCGCCGGGUAGGAGAUCGCAAGACUCUCCUGGCGUGGGACGCGUGCCGGCCGUGUGCACUUUCCGUGGGCAGAGCGCCACGACCGGUUUCUGGGCGGUCAGAAGGCGGCGAGGAUGGUAGGCGCGCGCCUCGGUGCGCGCUGGUAUAGCCUCGCCUGUCCCGAUCCGCCUGGAAACCGAGGAGCCGCCGUGGGCUGGGGCCGCCUCGCCCUCCCGGGACGUUCGACUGGCAGAGACUGGGUGACCGUGUCUGCCGACCGCUUCCUGGGACGGACUGGGGUGGGCCCGCCCUCACAGGGUCAGUGGCGAAUCGGUCGGCCCUCCACCCGACCCGUCUUGAAACACGGACCAAGGAGUCUAACAUGCGCGCGAGUCGUUGGGUCGUACGAAACCCGAAGGCGAAGUGAAAGCGAGGGCCGUCUCUGACGUGCUCAGGUGGGAUCCUGGUCCCUCUGCGGGCUGGGCGCACCACCGGCCCGUCUCGUCCGCGCUGU